AUUGAACGCUGGCGGCAGGCUUAACACAUGCAAGUCGAGCGGAGAUGAGGUGCUUGCACCUUAUCUUAGCGGCGGACGGGUGAGUAAUGCUUAGGAAUCUGCCUAUUAGUGGGGGACAACAUUCCGAAAGGAAUGCUAAUACCGCAUACGUCCUACGGGAGAAAGCAGGGGAUCUUCGGACCUUGCGCUAAUAGAUGAGCCUAAGUCGGAUUAGCUAGUUGGUGGGGUAAAGGCCUACCAAGGCGACGAUCUGUAGCGGGUCUGAGAGGAUGAUCCGCCACACUGGGACUGAGACACGGCCCCGACUCCUACGGGAGGCAGCAGUGGGGAAUAUUGGACAAUGGGGGGAAACCUGAUCCAGCCAUGCCGCGUGUGUGAAGAAGGCCUUAUGGUUGUAAAGCACUUUAAGCGAGGAGGAGGCUACUGAGACUAAUACUCUUGGAUAGUGGACGUUACUCGCAGAAUAAGCACCGGCUAACUCUGUGCCAGCCGCCGCCGUAA
rnacentral:rRNA from 1 species